CGGAGGCGGCCUUGGAGAACCCUCCUCUGCCUGGCCGGAGACAGCCGGGCUGGAGCAACUGUCAACACCUGGUUCAGGCAGAGUCUGAACGCCGCCGAACCGCCUCUGCACCCCCUGGGGCGGUCUCGGGAGGCGAACCUACCGCCGCCCGCCCCGCGCCUGUUGAGGCGAGGUCUUCGGGACCGGUCGUGCAGGGCCCUGCCUCAUCUAAGGAGGCUGCACCGGAGAGCUCCCGGGUACCUUAACUUUGGACAUAACUUUUUGCCUUCCUUUUUAACGGUAGUCCAAGGAACGCUCCCCCCAACCCUGUUAUUGAGAGGAAGAGUAAAAUGGGAGUGACUAAAAGACAGUAACAAUACAAAAAUAAGCCUUCCGUUUAGACACUUACAUUGCCAAAGAUUGCUGAUGAGGAUUUUAGGUUAAAAUCCUCAUUUGUUCUAAGAAGACUGGAUUGAGAGCAACCUCAAACAUAAAUAAGGUUCUUUCAUUUUGCGAAAAAGAAAGGGUGUUGCAGGAAAGAGAGUGGGGCACGAGAGGAUGGCCAUGUCCCAGGUCUCAGUAUGAGUACUCGCACCAUGGCCAACUUCAAGCUACCAACCUGAAAUUGCAGAACGUACAGUUGUGGAGAGAUGUGCACAAUCAGCUCAAGAGCCUGGGUAAGCCAGCUCCAGCACCCACUGGCUGUUCCUGAGGGAAAAAAUAAAUAUUAAUUUAUUUUCUGUCAAAGAGGCCAAAGACUCCAUCUUUUCUGAGGUAGUUCCUAGAAUAUCCAAUUUGGGGAAUUAUACUUAAUGUUGGUUCUAAUACUUUAUAAAACUAAAGAUUCCUUUUAUAAACCUUUUCAAUGCUGCACACUUUGAUGUGAUUUAGGUUUAAACAUAGCAACCAAUUUUCCCUAAUGAGAAAUAUAGAUAAAGAUGUGAAUGUUUAUUAGUAAGACAGUGACAUUAAAAAGAUUUGUGCUAC